rfam:Gossypium hirsutum cultivar TM-1 chromosome 17, whole genome shotgun sequence
AUCCCAUGAUGAGGACACUUCUGAAGUAACUCCUUGAAUCGCUCCCAAUCCUCAUACAAAGACUCGUCAUCCAAUUGUUGGAAAGUUGUGAUCUUGUUCCUUAACUU